GUGAGGAAUUUUCCGCAAUGGGCGAAAGCCUGACGGAGCAAUGCCGCGUGAAGGAUGAAGGCCUAUGGGUUGUAAACUUCUUUUCUUAGAGAAGAAUAUUGACGGUAUCUGAGGAAUAAGCAUCGGCUAACUCUGUGCAAGCAGCCCCGGUAAGACAGAGGAUGCAACCGUUAUCCGGAAUGAUUGGGCGUAAAGCGUCUGUAGGUGGCUUCAAAAGUCUCCUGUCAAAGAUCAGGGCGUAACCCUGGGCCGGCAGGAGAAACUCUGAGGCUAGAGUUUGGUAGGGGCAGAGGGAAUUCCAGGUGGAGCGGUGAAAUGCGUAGAGAUCGGGAGGAACACCAAAGGCGAAAGCACUCUGCUGGGCCACAACUGACACUGAGAGACGAAAGCGAGGGGAGCAAAAGGGAUUAGAAACCCUGGUAGUCC
rnacentral:rRNA from 1 species